rnacentral:lncRNA from 1 species
CGCUGGGCUCGGCCGCCGGCUCCCGCCUGCCUCCGUAACAGCAGAAAGCGUGCGAUUAGCAGCCAGACAGGCGGGGACUCCGGGCCCGCGGGGCCGCCGCACACGCCGCCCGCGGCCCGAGCCCGCGCCCCCCGCCCGCCGGGUAAUCAUCCUCCUCGCUGCAGCGCUGUGUGCACUCUCAUUAGAGUAGGGAGGCUUUUCUCUGUGCACUCGCUCGGCUCCCGCUGGCAAAACAACGCCUUCCCGGGCCGGGCCCUGGGCCAGGAGAGUCGGGGAGGGUGGGACGGAGGUGGGGGGUGGGUGAGGCAGGGCAAGCCUUGCAGGUCAGCUCCGCCGCCGGAUCUCCUCCGGACACGGAGGAGACGGGGAGCGUCCAUUGGCCCUUCCCUAGGUGGAGUGGCAAAGUCCGAGCCCCGCAGCCGACCCUACGUCCCUACGUGGAGGGGGGCGGGUGGAGUACCGGUGCCGCCAUGACCUACUCCCGUCCCCCGCCGGAGGCUAGAGUAGGGCUGAGGGGGAGAUGAGUGUGUCUGGUUUGGAGAGCGGGGGCGGACACUGGGAAGGCUCCCAAAACAGGUUUUGCCCCAUCUGUUUUAUGAACGACCUCUUCAGGCCAGAAGCCGGAUCCCAGGGGUGGCGGCCCUUCGACCUUCGAAAGGAGACCCGGGCCCCCAGCAGGCCCUCUGGCUUCGCGCUCUGUCGCCUGCAGUGGGUGGGAGAUGGGGGUGGCCGAGGCUUGGCUGCUCCUGGCCCUGAGCUUCGGAGCCCUAUUUUCUCCUCCGCGAUCUCUGCACACAACAGUAGGCAGCCUCUCACAGCAGCACGCGCCCAGCUGCAGGGCCUGGGAGCAGGUGUUCCUGCCCGGCCGGAGUGGCGGCUCCGCGCCCCUCCGGUCCCAGCUGCGGAGCUGCGAGCGGUGCGGGGGGGCGUGCUUAUGGUGGUAGCAGAGGGACAGGGACAUCUCAUCGGACCGCAGGAAGGGUCCUCUCGGCUUACACCGGGAUACCGCAGGGCCCGGGUGGUCGCCUGGGGCGAGGAGGGAUCAGGGGUGACGCGCGGCCAGCCCUCGUCUGGAACAGCCCUGGGGCCAGCGGAGGCCGCUCGGGGCGGCGCGAGGGCUUCCGGUCCCCGUGACUGCGGCGGCGGCGGCGGGGCGGCCGCGAGGAGCACCCUCCCCUGGCUGCUGCCGCCGCGCGGCUCUCGGAACGGCGCCCCAGGAGCCUCUCUGCGUCUGGCAGCGCCGCUUUCGGCUUGCGCUGGGAUGGGGGCCGCAGGGUGGUCUCGGCCCAGCCCCCACGGGGAGGGGCGGGGAGGCGGGGUCCGGAGACCCCGCGGGAACGGCCGCGCGCCUCCCAGCACCCCCUCCUCGCCGCCGCCGCCGCUGCUGCUGAUAUGGCGGGCACGUGAAGCGCAGCUUGGCGCCCCGGCGCCAGCCAGGGAGCGGCCUGCCCCGCCGACUCAGCUUACCCGCGGGCCCAGGAACGCGGAACCGAGCCUGGCCGGGCUCCGCGGAGCCCGCACCUCCGCCCGCAGCUCGCUGCGGCCCCGCACCCUCUCCCCGCCUGAGCCCGGCCUUGGGGCCGCGCCAGGCGGCUCGCCCGAGGGGAACUCGGGCUGACUAAUGGGACGCGUGUGGGCCUUACGUGAGGCCCGGCUGUCAGCGGAUACCCGCUUGCUCGGAGCUUAGACCGCGGCCAAGCUUUUCGGGGAAGGGCGAGAGGAGGGGUUUCCCCGCUGGGCGGUUUCAGCUCCCCAGGGACAAUCCGUCCGCGGCAGGCCCCAACCUUUGGAUCUUGCAGCCUGGCUUGGAGACGGUAGACUUGGCAUGUGCCGGACGCCACGGUGCCGACCCGGUCGGGGGCAGGGGGUGGGAGCCUCGGGGUUGUGAGCUGGGGGUGGGCAGAGGCUAGGUCAGCUUGGUCUGGGGCGCCCGCCUUGAGGUUUGCAUUCUGGGGCUAGCCACUGGGCCGGGGGGAAUUUGCAGGGCGCUCUGAGGUCGUGGAGUCUGAUACCAAAACCUUCCUCGACAAAGUCUUCCGGAAACCCCUUCGCGAAAUUCCUGUGCGGAAAGAAGGAUUUCUAAAACUCCCCGAGGGUCCGGUUCGGCUGGGAGCUUUCGGGUUCUAGGGAGUGUGAUUUCCUUUCUCUCCCUUUAUAGGGGCCUAUAAAUAUCAGAAGAGUUUCUUCUUAUUUCGCAUUAACAACCACUUCAUGUUGACAUAGUUAUAUGACCCUCCCAAGUAUAACUACCUGUUUAGUUUGAAGGCACUGAGUGCGAUGGCGAAACACAAACAUCGACCAGUAACUAAGAGAAGGAAAACCCAGCCGCGAGCUUGGGUUGGAUACAGGAUAAAUCCUCAUCACGCAUCCCUGGUUUUAUUCAGCCUAAUUGCACUAGUAAUCCUGCCCCCCGCGAGAAAGCCUGAAAUCCUGCAGUCGAGGUGCGACUUUUCCUGGGGAGCCCCGCCAAUGGGGGGUGGGUUGUCAGUGGAGGGGAGGUGGGUUUUAAAUGUCACUUCCAAAUGAAAAUCUUUCUUUCUUUUCUUUUUCUCUUUUUCUUUUUUGAUCCAGUUUUCGAAAAGAGCAUUUUUGCGAGAUAAGAAGUGACCGAUCAAAAUCGCUAAGGGGAGGUUGUAAGCAGCCGCUUUGCCCCAGCUUAGCGUUAUCUUAUCUCUCACACUUGCAUGGCGGAAAAAAAAAUUGGCUUAUCUUUAUCCCCACCCCCUUCUCGCCUUAAUUGCUAAAAAACACUAGUGUGUUAAACCGGGAGGAAGGAGGUCUCUGGAGUGUCAGUGGAAAAGGAAGAUUCAAAAAUGUGGGCUCCCGGGGGAAGCAAGGGUGGCAGAAUUUAUUCUUUCCCCCAGGCCUUUCUGGUACAACACAGGGUGUAGUCCAGGGUGGAAGGCUGGGUGGCUCUUUUUUUAAAUUAUUAUUUUAAGAACAAAAUCUGGGCUUGGCCUUGGGUCGUGUGGCUUCCCCAGGCCUCGCUUUCUGAACUUCUCCCCUCCUUCAUCUCUCAAAAGCUGCUGGUGGGUCUGGGUUGAGGCCUCUCACUCUGCCUUCAUCCUCCCUCCUCUAGACACAUCCUCCUUUUGGGGAGGGGGGGAUGCAAGGCUAGGACACAUAGCCUGCUGGAAAUCAUUAAAAUAUAUGCGAGUGUCUGCAAACACACACUUUUAAAUCAUGGCGUUUCCCCUCCACGCUGGUCUAUUUAAACUCCAGAGCGAGCUGGAUCUCCUCCCUCUCAGUCGUUUGUCUGUGUCACCGACAGGCCGCUAAUGGCCGGGCUUCCAGGCGCUGUGCAUUAUGCAUUAGCCUCCUCCCUCCGCCGCACACAGAAGGUUCUGUCAGGCCGCACCACACAAACCACCCUGAGCCCCCCCACCCCACCCCCCGCACUCAGGGCCGGGGGCUGCGCGGCUGCUAACGCGCUGGGAACGCAGGUAUGGAGAGGAGGAUGAGCACCGAGAGCAGAGUGGUUCGGAAGGUGGAAUGGGAGCGGGUGAAAUGUGCCGAAGAUUACACCGUUUGGAAUGCCCAGUCCGUUGUGAGCCCCAAAGCUUUGCUCCUGGCUGCGACCUUCUCGAGGCAACCAUCCCGCGCCACUCACCUCUGUGACCGACUUUGUUGGGGGCGGGAGGGCAGAGGUAUUUAGAGACAGAUCAGCACCGCUUUCCCUUCUGCUGGUCCGUACCCACCUUCCUGCUGCAGGCGAGGGGCUGGCAGAGCCUUCUCUACCCCUCCAGUUCGGGAGUGGUACCGCGAAGGGGUUCGGGGUGGUGCGUCUUCGCAGGGACCCGGUGGGAGUGGAGGAGGGAAGCUGGAUACAAAAUGGCUGGGGCCGGAGGCCGGCACACUGGGUCCGAAGGCGAGUAGUUGGUGGUUCCCCGCCCCCUCUCCCGGCGGUUCCCACUCACUGCCCCCAGCCGGGUAAAAUAUGCGCAGAAGGCGCCUUGCUAAAUAAGCAGCCGAGGCGGGACGUGGCGUCCGGGUUUAUCUGCAGGAGCACCCGGCCCAGCGCGGCGGCGUCGAGGGCUCUUAAGCCCUUGCCGAGCGCAAGAGGCGGCCAGCCUCCCAGAAGCCUCCUGUAUUAUGCCCAUUUGGUCGACACCCAACCACCCUGCGGGCCCCCGUAGUGUAGAUGCCAGUUCACCCACACGUGCCUGUGUUCGGGGAGCUCAGGGCCUGACCCAAAUCGAGCCCAGACCAGAAAUUCCAAGAUGGUUGCUAGGAACCACGGAGAGGCUGCCCUUAGGGCCUUCCUUCCCCAAACACCCAAUAACCCUCCAAAGGCUAGGAAGAAGAAAGAACAGUCAUGUUCAGCCUGGCGACCCUUAAGUCCAGCAGUCUUCUGCCCUGGGAGGCAGCUACCUUUAGAUGUUUCCAGAUGAGUGAAAUCCUGGGAGGAGGAUGCGCCUCCUGUUUGUUACCUCGUUUGAGUUUCAGAGGGGAAGCCAGCUGUGCCUUGUGCUUGGAGGAUGGGGCAGCGGAUGUUUUUUAAAGUGCCAUUGGAUAAGCCCAGAGUUCUUGUACAAAGUGACCAGAAGACUAUAAGUGUGGGUGUGUUUUUAAAGAAAGGCUACCUCACAUUAUGUAAAAAUACAUUAUCUGUACUCAUCCGAGUCCCACCUGUUCCAGUACCAAGUGUCAUCGCCCUGAGAACAGCCUCCGAGGAGGACCAUCGGAAGCCUACACAUACGUUAUAAGCUUUAUGAUGUGGAUCCUAGUAUACGUUAUAAAUAAAUCUUGCA